UACGUAGGGUGCAAGCGUUGUCCGGAAUUAUUGGGCGUAAAGGGCUCGUAGGCGGUCCGUCACGUCGGGAGUGAAAACUUGGGGCUUAACCCCAAGCCUGCUUCCGAUACGGGCGGACUAGAGGUAGGCAGGGGAGAACGGAAUUCCUGGUGUAGCGGUGAAAUGCGCAGAUAUCUGGAGGAACACCGGUGGCGAAGGCGGCAUCCUGGACCGGCAUUGACGCUGAGGAGCGAAAGCCAGGGGGGCAAACGGG
rnacentral:rRNA from 1 species